GAUGAAGAACGCAGCGAAAUGCGAUAAGUAAUGUGAAUUGCAGAAUUCAGUGAAUCAUCGAAUCUUUGAACGCACAUUGCGCCCGCCAGUAUUCUGGCGGGCAUGCCUGUUCGAGCGUCAUUUCAACCAUCAAGCCCCGGGCGUGUGUUGGGGACCUGCGGCUGCCGCAGGCCCUGAAAUGCAGUGGCGGGCUCGCUGUCACUCCGAGCGUAGUAGUUACAUCUCGCUCUGGGCGUGCUGCGGGUUCCGGCCGUUAAAAGCCUUAUUUACCCAAGGUUGACCUCGGAUCAGGUAGGAAGACCCGCUGAACUUAAGCAUAUCAAUAAGCGGAGGA
rnacentral:misc_RNA from 1 species